rnacentral:rRNA from 1 species
AGCUCCAAUAGCGUAUAUUAAAGUUGCUGCAGUUAAAAAGCUCGUAGUUGCAUUUCCGAGGCAAGGGAUUAGUCCGACCUUUGGUGGGUAUUUAAUCCUCUUGCCUCGUCCUUGAGUGGUGCUUCUUGGUAUUAAGUUAUCGAGGAGAUAGCCGCUCAUCGUUUACUGUGAGAAAAUUAGAGUGUUCAAAGCAGGCUUAUGCCGUUGAAUAUAUUAGCAUGGAAUAAUAAGAUAGGACCUGGGUACUAUUUUGUGGGUUUGAGAACCAAGGUAAUGAUGAAUAGGGACAGUUGGGGGUAUUCGUAUUCAGUUGUCAGAGGUGAAAUUCUUAGAUUUACGGAAGACGAACUACUGCGAAAGCAUUUACCAAGGAUGUUUUCA